rnacentral:misc_RNA from 1 species
CGGUCCUCUAAUGCGAGCUGCUGAGAGGGGGUGCAUGCAGGUGGUCAAAUGGUUCGUCAAUCGCGGAUGCCGUGACAUGGAGCUCUGCCUCGCCCUCACUGCUGCCACCUCUAGCAGCCAGGUGGAGAUUGCCACCUACCUUCUCCCUCACGUCCCCCAGCAUGUCCUUGCUGCUCUCAGCAUCGAGAUCAUCAAAGCAGCUGGCGAGAGGAGCAGUGGGUCCCUCGAAGGCGUUGCCUUCCUCCUCAGUUCCAACUUUCUCGGGGAUUCUGCCGCGACUUACAGCGUAGCGGACAGCAUUGCACGAUCGGAAGACGAGGCGGUGGCGCCAGAGCUGAGGGCCUUCUUGCGGAACCAUUGGUCAGAGGCAGCGUAUACCGAGGGAUUAAGCUCUGGGGAGGACUACUUUGUAAAUUUUAUGAGAAUUCUGAAGGGUGGUGCAUCACCGAUAUGUUUGCGGGACCUACCCGCCCCGCUUGUAAUUGCGAUAGCAUACCUGCCACUAUACCGAGAGUGUGUCGGGUCUGGCGGGCGGUUGCUGCCACAGAGACUGAGAGGGCAGCUUGUGGAGGCAGCGAGAAGACUAGGGCACGGGGCAGUGGACAAGGCAAGCCAGGGGGAUGAGCUCUUGGCGGUUUUGGAACACCAUCUGCCUCGCUUCUUCCUCGAUGCCGGCGCCCCCUAGGGGCGGAGAUGGUUUGAGGGUUGGCGUGUAUUUUGCAGUUUAUCCUUAAAUAUCUAUGUACGGUUUUACGAGAUUUCGGGCUGUAUGUGUUGAGGGUAUAGCAGUAGUUACUUGAG